AGUGAACGCUGGCGGCGUGCUUAACACAUGCAAGUCGAACGAGAACAGAAUAUAGCUUGCUAUAUUUGUCAGCUAAGUGGUGCACGGGUGAGUAAUGUAUAGAUAACCUGCCCUUAAGAAAGGAAUAACAGUUGGAAACGACUGCUAAUGCCCUAUAUGCCUUUAAUACAUAAGCAUGCAAGGGAAACGCUUUAGUGCUUAAGGAUGGGUCUGUAUGGUAUCAGCUUGUUGGUGAGGUAAUGGCUCACCAAGGCUAUGACGCCUAACUGGUUUGAGAGGAUGAUCAGUCACACUGGAACUGAGACACGGUCCAGACUCCUACGGGAGGCAGCAGUGGGGAAUAUUGCACAAUGGACGAAAGUCUGAUGCAGCAACGCCGCGUGGAGGAUGACACAUUUCGGUGCGUAAACUCCUUUUAUAUAGGAAGAUAAUGACGGUACUAUAUGAAUAAGCACCGGCUAACUCCGUGCCAGCAGCCGCCGUAACAC
rnacentral:rRNA from 1 species